GUUGGGAAGAUCCCCUGGAGAAAGGAACAGCUACAAACUCCAGUACUGGAGAAAUCCAUGGACUGUGUAGCCAUGGGGUCGCAAAGAGUCGGACACAGCUGAGUCACUUUCACUUUCCCCUGGCUCGACAGCGCGGAGAAGCUGAGCACUGGUUUCCCACAGAUGGUGUGAUGAUUACCCCUGUUGGCUCAGGCUCCGCUGAAGUGUCAGGCACACAGAGCAACGUUGGCCCUUUCUUGGAAACCUUGGCACCAGAGAACAGCUAUACUUCAAAGGGAAUUGACUACACAAGUGAGCUUAUCAAGGCAUUUUUCUCAAAAAGGCAAAUCUCUUACUAAGAUAAAUUCUUGUACCAGAGACUAACAGGAUAGCGUUCCCCACCCCCCCCCCAUCUCAUUGUGCCUGGGAAUUGCCACUGAGUAGAGUGAGGGAUCUGUCAGACAAACCAUGUCCUCCUGGCUCAGACCCCAGGUGCUCAUGGCUGAGUUCUGCAAUAAAAGGGCAAGUCAGAUCUCCGUGAGCUUUUUCAUCACCGUCUCCACAGGGCUCUGAGAACACAAGAAGCGGCCAUAUUGGUCCCAGCAGCUCUGCAAUGGUGGGAGAUAGUGCCAGGGACUUCAGAAGUACCAUACAACUCCCUUGCUCUCAUGUUUAGGCCUUUUCAUCAGACAUCAGGCAGCUGCAGUGGGGACCUAGAAGGAGAAUUCAUGCUUAGAUGUUGCUUUUGGAGUUGACCCAAUCUAGCAGCAUCCAAUGAACAAGAAAAGGAAAACGGCACUGUGCAACCAAGAUAACAGAUGCACAGAAUUCACAGGAGACACCCUCACUCCAGGGUGUCUGGAAUGCUCUGGGAGGAAUUUGAGCAUUAAAGGGAUUAAAUGUCCUAGGUUCUUAGCAGAGGAUAACAAGGGGACCUAUCUGGGUCUCUCUUCUAGGUUUUCUACAACCGAAUACGAAAUAAUCCCUCAAACAAAACAUGUGCUUUGUCAAUUUGUCUUCCAUGGCACAUAGCAGCGCGGCUUGUCUUGCUCAAGGUUAUUUCAGAAAGUGUGGAGGAAA